AACUAAAUUAUAGUAGUGGUAAGAAGAGUUGAAUCCACAGGGAAUUAGAAACAAAUUUUCAUCCUUUACUGACGAAUGAAAAGUAAACAAAAAAGGGGGGGAGGGGUUUGUAGAACUCAAUACGCAAAAUAAGAAAUAAGCAAAUAGCAGGAUAAUGUUUAAAAAACUCUUAGUUGCAAGUUAAAAUCUAAAGCAAUUA
rnacentral:lncRNA from 1 species